rnacentral:tRNA from 1 species
GCCGAAAUAGCUCAGUUGGUAGAGCAACGCAUUCGUAACGCGUAGGUCAGCGGUUCGACUCCGCUUUUCGGCACCA